rnacentral:rRNA from 1 species
GACGAACGCUGGCGGCGUGCUUAACACAUGCAAGUCGAACGGAAAGGCCCCUUUGGGGGUACUCGAGUGGCGAACGGGUGCGUAACACGUGAGUAACCUGCCCUUGACUUCGGGAUAACUUCAGGAAACUGGGGCUAAUACCGGAUAGGAAUCCUUGCUGCAUGGUGGGGGUUGGAAAGCUUCGGCGGUUUUGGAUGGACUCGCGGCUUAUCAGCUUGUUGGUGGGGUAGUGGCUUACCAAGGCUUUGACGGGUAGCCGGCCUGAGAGGGCGACCGGCCACAUUGGGACUGAGAUACGGCCCAGACUCCUACGGGAGGCAGCAGGGGGGAAUAUUGCACAAUGGGCGGAAGCCUGAUGCAGCAACGCCGCGGGCGGGAUGACGGCCUUAGGGUUGUAAACCGCUUUCAGCAGGGGCGAAGCUUGUGGUGACGGUACCUGCAGAAGAAGCACCGGCUAACUACGUG